UACGAAGGGGGCUAGCGUUGUUCGGAAUCACUGGGCGUAAAGGGCGCGUAGGCGGCCAUGCGUGUCUUCCGUGAAAUCCCUCGGCUUAACUGAGGACGUGCGGAAGAAACUGCAAGGCUUGAGUCCGGGAGAGGGGGGUGGAAUUCCCAGUGUAGCGGUGAAAUGCGUAGAUAUUGGGAGGAACACCGGUGGCGAAGGCGGCCCCCUGGACCGGUACUGACGCUGAGGCGCGAAAGCGUGGGUAGCAAACGGG
rnacentral:rRNA from 1 species